rnacentral:rRNA from 1 species
AGAGUUUGAUCAUGGCUCAGAAUCAACGCUGGCGGCGUGCCUAACACAUGCAAGUCGAACGAGAAAGUGGAGCAAUCCAUGAGUAAAGUGGCGCACGGGUGAGUAACACGUGACUAACCUACCCUGGAGUGGGGGAUAACUGAGGGAAACCUUAGCUAAUACCGCAUAAUACCUACGGGUCAAAGGAGCAAUUCGCUUCAGGAGGGGGUCGCGGCCGAUUAGUUAGUUGGCGGGGUAAUGGCCCACCAAGACAGUGAUCGGUAUCCGGCCUGAGAGGGCGCACGGACACACUGGAACUGAAACACGGUCCAGACUCCUACGGGAGACAGCAGUGGGGAAUUUUGCGCAAUGGGGGAAACCCUGACGCAGCAACGCCGCGUGGAGGAUGAAGUCCUUCGGGACGUAAACUCCUUUCGAUCGGGACGAUUAUGACGGUACCGGAAGAAGAAGCCCCGGCUAACUUCGUGCCAGCAGCCGCGGUAAUACGAGGGGGGCGAGCGUUGUUCGGAAUUAUUGGGCGUAAAGGGUGCGUAGGCGGUUUUGUAAGUCUUAUGUGAAAUCUAUGGGCUCAACUCAUAGACUGCAUGAGAAACUGCAGGGCUUGAGUAUGGGAGAGGUGAGUGGAAUUCCUGGUGUAGCGGUGAAAUGCGUAGAUAUCAGGAGGAACACCUGUGGCGAAAGCGGCUCACUGGACCAUAACUGACGCUGAUGCACGAAAGCUAGGGGAGCAAACAGGAUUAGAUACCCUAGUAGUCC